UCGAGGUCCACAUACCUAGUUGAAUCUA
rnacentral:sRNA from 1 species